rnacentral:rRNA from 1 species
GAACGAACGCUGGCGGCGUGCCUAACACAUGCAAGUCGAGCGCGAAUAGGGGCAACCCUUAGUAGAGCGGCGCACGGGUGCGUAACACGUGGGUAAUCUGCCUGGAAGACCGGGACAACCAUCCGAAAGGAUGGCUAAUACCGGAUAAGACCACGGGAGCUUCGGCUCUUGAGGGAAAAGGUGGCCUCUGUACACAAGCUAUCACUUCCAGAUGAGCCCGCGGCCCAUCAGCUAGUUGGCGGGGUAAUGGCCCACCAAGGCAACGACGGGUAGCUGGUCUGAGAGGACGAUCAGCCACACUGGAACUGAGACACGGUCCAGACUCCUACGGGAGGCAGCAGUGGGGAAUUUUGCACAAUGGGCGCAAGCCUGAUGCAGCAACGCCGCGUGUGUGAUGAAGGUCUUCGGAUUGUAAAGCACUUUCGACCGGGACGAAACCCGGAUGGCUAACAUCCAUCCGGCUGACGGUACCGGGAGAAGAAGCACCGGCUAACUCUGUGCCAGCAGCCGCGGUAA